CGGGGUGUGGCGCAGUUGGUAGCGCGCCUGGUUUGGGACCAGGAGGUCCGCGGUUCGAGUCCGCGCACCCCGACCA
rnacentral:tRNA from 1 species